AGAGAAUAACGUAUCUGGGUCCCCCUUUUAUAGGCGGAGGAGGUAACGGAUUGAUGGCGACGUCUGUAACCGUCUGAUCGUGGGCUGCCCAUGGUCAGAGGAAUUUAUUGCGAAGGGUAAUGGAGUAGACCCGUGGCUAUUAUCAUAGUCUGCCACGUAGGGCGUGUUGCAGGUAGUGGAGCGGCAUCCGUUGCCGCUAGUUGUCAGCGAGUAGUGGAGUCGUG
rnacentral:lncRNA from 1 species